rnacentral:sRNA from 1 species
AACACAUCAUUUAUAGUUUGUACAAAUACAACUAGAUUUUAACCCGCGGUAUACCGCGGAACGAUUUAUUUUUAAAAAUAAUAUAUAUUGAAACUUGCAAAUUUUAUUUUUACAAAAUAUUUAUAUUUUACAGUUUAUAAUUGUUAUUAAGUAAUAGUACACCACGAAUUCAUGAGACAGUUGUUAAAAAAACUGAAGUUUUGAUCCCUAUUAAAACAGCAUAUUUUAUAAUUUUUUAAAAUUUUAUAAAUAUUGAUUCAAAUACAUCCACCAUAUAACCCAAUUCCAAAAUAAAACACGUUCUGUAAUUUCUUUACCCGUUCCAUGAUUUUUUUUUUAAGUAGUAAUUUUUAAAAUUUAAGAAUUAUAUUUUAUAUAUAAAAGUUUUGCAAAUUGUAUCAUUCUCUAAUACAUUUAUAUUUUAUAGUUUAAUUUUAUAUAUAGUAAUAUUAUACAUACCACAUAACAUUUUUGGUUUUAUAUAAUUUUUUCUAAAUUAGGAUGAUUUGAUAUGUUUAAUAUUAGUGGUCUUAAAAAAAUAAUAAAUUAAAGAUUUAACCCAUAUUGAAAUU